GUUUCUAUGUCUUUAUGCUUUAGUAAUAGAAGUUGCAUAAUCUAUGUAUAUUAUUGUUUUUGGGUCCAUUGUAGAACCCUUAUUGGUUUGUAGUAUUGGUCUUUGGUAGAAAUGUGCUAUUUUAUCAGUUUCCGUAAAUUAAGUUUGUCUGCAAGGGCUCAUGAUAUCUUUCUGCGGAAUGUCUAUCUAUAAGGCAUUCAUUUAUUAAUUUUGUCUGAUGAAUUUGAUACUAAUUAAAAUGUUUAUUUAAAUUUGAAAAAGAUAGAAACCACAUAAGCGUCUUUGUGAUUUUAAAAGGGUGGAUUUCAUAGGAAUUCAGAGUAAUUUUGUACACUUUGAGCAAGAUAGACAGGCAUACUUUAUCCUAAUGUGAAAGCCACUACAUUAAAGUAAUUAAUGCAUUAAAGGGAAAAGCAUAACUGAAAACUCCACAAAAAAACAGAUCACACUAACUGCACAUAUGUACAACACGUUUGCACAAAUUAAAUGUUACAAAGGUCUCACGUAGAUUAUGGAGGGGAAGAGGUUUCGAUGCUGAUUGGAAGUAAGCAGUUAUAACAUUCAGGGUUGUAUUAAAAGCAUUGAAAUCAUUAAAUAGUAACUACUAAACUAUAAGAAAGAGAAAGGCAUUGAGCUAAAAUCGUGUGUUUUUAAGACAACUCAAAUUCUUUCAUUUAUAUUGAGAAAAUAGAAACAAUAAAGAUAACUUGAGUUUUCACAUGGGGUUGAAAUAUAUGCAGAGCUUUUGAUCUUCUUUAAACAGACUUAAGAGUUACAUUGUAAUUUUUUCUCUUCUUUUGAUCAAAUGCUUCACAUGAAAGGAUGUAAAAUACUGAUAUUAAGGUCAAACUCUCUUACCUUGAUAUUUAAUGAGUCCAACUUUAUGAGUGUUGCUCUGAACAUAAGGACAGUGACAAUAGAUCAAAACCAUUCACAUAGUCCACCUCACAUCUUAAAUUUUAGACUUAGUAAUUUGGUUUAUAUACCUAAGCUUUUAUUCGUUUUAGUUUUUAUAUUUAUCUUUUAUUUAAUUGAAUUCCUAUUUUUAUAAAAAAGAUUUGGACUUUGAUACAUAACACUUUCAAACAUAGUUAAUGUCAUAUGUUUGUUAAGUUUUUCUUAUAAAAAUAGAGACU
rnacentral:lncRNA from 1 species